GCCGAGAUGGUGGAAUUGGUAGACACGCUAUCUUGAGGGGGUAGUGGGCUAUGCCUGUGCGGGUUCGAGUCCCGCUCUCGGCACCA
rnacentral:tRNA from 1 species